AUGAUUGCUCGCUUGGGUGACUUGUUGUUUAGAAUCUCAAAUGAUGUCAGAGGUGUAGGAAAACAUGCCUCUAUGGUUCAAACUCAAUUAGAACAAGUUGCUCAAUCUCAAAAAGAAUUGCUAACUGAAAUGAAUAAUAAUAUAAAUGAUUUUGCUGUUAGAGUAGCAACUAGAGGAGGUAAAAUGACUCAGGAACCACUUUAUCCUGAGGGACACCCUAAGAGAAUUGAACAAGAUUCACAAAGAGUUAACAAUAGUGUACAUAGUCCUUCUAGAAAGAAAAAUAAGAAGACAAAUGAUAGGACUUUGCAUACCUUUAGUGAACCUGAGAUAGAAAAACCUCCUGAAACAAAUGAUGUCUCCAUCUCUGAUGCUGAAACUCAAUCUGGUAAUGAACAUUUAUCUAGUGAUAAUGAGAAUGAUAAUGAUGAUGUUUAG
rnacentral:rRNA from 1 species